AAAUAGGUAAGCUAAGUCUAAGCUAUUGGGCUCAUAACCCAACAAUGGAGUAAAUCCCUUAUUU
rnacentral:tRNA from 1 species